UAAAUACUCCCUCCGUCCGGAAAUACUUGUUGCAUAAAUGGAUGAAAAUGGAUGUAUCUAGAAUUAAAAUACAUCUAGAUACAUUCAUUUUAAUGACAAGUAUUUCCGGACGGAGGGAGUAUAAG
rnacentral:pre_miRNA from 1 species